rnacentral:rRNA from 1 species
UAAGCGGAGGAAAAGAAACUAACAAGGAUUCCCCUAGUAACUGCGAGUGAAGCGGGAAAAGCUCAAAUUUAAAAUCUGGCAGUCUUUGGCUGUCCGAGUUGUAAACUAGAGAAGUGUUAUCCGCGCUGGACCGUGUAAAAGUCUCCUGGAAUGGAGCAUCAUAGAGGGUGAGAAUCCCGUCUUUGACAUGGACUACCAGUGCUUUGUGAUGCGCUCUCAAAGAGUCGAGUUGUUUGGGAAUGCAGCUCAAAAUGGGUGGUAAAUUCCAUCUAAAGCUAAAUAUUGGCGAGAGACCGAUAGCGAACAAGUACCGUGAGGGAAAGAUGAAAAGAACUUUGGAAAGAGAGUUAAACAGUACGUGAAAUUGCUGAAAGGGAAACGCUUGAAGUCAGUCGCGUUGGCCAGGAAUCAACCUUGCUUUUGCUGGGCGUACUUUCUGGUUGACGGGUCAGCAUCAAUUUUGACUGUUGGAAAAAGUUCAAGGGAAUGUGGCAUCUUCGGAUGUGUUAUAGCCCUCGUUCGCAUACAGCAGUUGGGAUUGAGGAACUCAGCACGCCGCAAGGCCGGGUUUCGACCACGUUCGUGCUUAGGAUGCUGGCAUAAUGGCUUUAAUCGACCCGUCUUGAAACACGGACCAAGGAGUCUAACAUGCCUGCGAGUGUUUGGGCGGAAAACCCAAGCGCGCAAUGAAAGUGAAAGUUGAGAUCCCUGUCGUGGGGAGCAUUGACGCCCGGACCAGACCUUUUGUGACGGAUCCGCGGUAGAGCAUGCAUGUUGGGACCCGAAAGAUGGUGAACUAUGCCUGAAUAGGGUGAAGCCAGAGGAAACUCUGGUGGAGGCUCGUAGCGAUUCUGACGUGCAAAUCGAUCGUCAAAUUUGGGUAUAGGGGCGAAAGACUAAUCGAACCAUCUAGUA